GAAGGUAUAGCUCAAGUGGUAGAGCAUAUGCUUAGCACGCAAAAGGUUCUGGGUUCAAUCCCCAGUACCUCCU
rnacentral:tRNA from 1 species